CUUUUUCAUUUUCAUUUCAUACUUUACUUCUACUUAGUGAUUUUUCCGCAGCAGUUUUCAGAACAAGCCCUAAAAGAGCGGGAGUAUACAGUGGAAUUUUCCAGAGACUCCAUUUUGUGUGACAUUGCAACAGAUUGAAGGCUGAGGCAGAUCUGAGAAUCCAGCUGUCUUCUACUAAGCCAGACAUUAAAGAGCUGAGGUGUUCUGGAUAUA